rnacentral:lncRNA from 1 species
UUGACCAAGGCGUAUGGUGGGAGCGCAUCUCUGGAGCGUAUAAUCUGCCAGCUCAAUUAAUGAGCUCAGAUCUAACGCUCCUUGUUUUUUUGCAUUUUUUAUUUUUUGAUUUUAUUUUCUUUAAUUCCAAUUAUUUUCAAAAAUCAAUAUCUCUCUCAUUUUUAAUCCAAAAAUUAUGGGACCAAUUGCAUUAGUCUCCAAAUAAAUUCUAGUUUCUAUUUAUGAUUUUUAAUAUUUUUUAUUUUGUCAUUUGAUAUU